UCCCAGAGGUUAGCGGCGGACGGGUGAGUAACACGUGGGCAACCUGCCCUGUAGACUGGGAUAACAUCGAGAAAUCGGUGCUAAUACCGGAUAAUAGAUGGAACUGCAUAGUUCCAUUUUAAAAGAUGGCAUCUCGCUAUCACUAUAGGAUGGGCCCGCGGUGCAUUAGCUAGUUGGUAAUGUAAUGGCUUACCAAGGCGACGAUGCAUAGCCGACCUGAGAGGGUGAUCGGCCACACUGGGACUGAGACACGGCCCAGACUCCUACGGGAGGCAGCAGUAGGGAAUCUUCCGCAAUGGACGAAAGUCUGACGGAGCAACGCCGCGUGAGUGAUGAAGGGUUUCGGCUCGUAAAGCUCUGUUGUUAGGGAAGAACAAGUGCCUGAGUAACUGCAGGCACCUUGACGGUACCUAACCAGAAAGCCACGGCUAACUACGUGCCAGCAGCCGCGGUAAUACGUAGGUGGCAAGCGUUGUCCGGAAUUAUUGGGCGUAAAGCGCGCGCAGGCGGUCUUUUAAGUCUGAUGUGAAAGCCCCCGGCUCAACCGGGGAGGGUCAUUGGAAACUGGGAGACUUGAGUACAGAAGAGGAGAGUGGAAUUCCACGUGUAGCGGUGAAAUGCGUAGAUAUGUGGAGGAACACCAGUGGCGAAGG
rnacentral:rRNA from 1 species